rnacentral:rRNA from 1 species
UACGUAGGUGACCAGCGUUGUCCGGAUUUACUGGGCGUAAAGAGCGCGCAGGCGGUCGUUCAAGUCGCGUGUGAAAGCCCCCGGCUCAACUGGGGAGGGUCACGCGAUACUGAUCGACUCGAAGGCAGGAGAGGGUAGUGGAAUUCCCGGUGUAGUGGUGAAAUGCGUAGAUAUCGGGAGGAACACCAGUGGCGAAGGCGGCUCACUGGGCACCACCUGACGCUGAGGCGCGAAAGCGUGGGGAGCGAACCGG